CCUACGGGAGGCAGCAGUGAGGAAUAUUGGUCAAUGGCCGGAAGGCUGAACCAGCCAAGCCGCGUGAAGGACGAAGGUGCCAAGCAUUGUAAACUUCUUUUGUCAAGGGACAAAAUCAGGCUCGAGAGCCUGACCGAGGGUACCUGUCGAAUAAGCCACGGCUAACUACGUGCCAGCAGCCGCGGUAAUACGUAGGUGGCAAGCGUUGUCCGGAUUUACUGGGGGUAAAGGGCGUGUAGCCGGGCUGACAAGUCAGAUGUGAAAUCCGGGGGCUCAACCCCCGAACUGCAUUUGAAACUGUUGGUCUUGAGUAUCGGAGAGGCAGGCGGAAUUCCUAGUGUAGCGGUGAAAUGCGUAGAUAUUAGGAGGAACACCAGUGGCGAAGGCGGCCUGCUGGACGACAACUGACGGUGAGGCGCGAAAGCGUGGGGAGCAAACAGGAUUAGAUACCCUGGUAGUC
rnacentral:rRNA from 1 species